GUCUACGGCCAUGCCACCCUGAACUUGCCCUAUCUCAUCUGAUCUAGGAAGCUAAGCAGGGUCAGGUCUGGUUAGUACUUGAAUGGGAGACCACCUAGGAAGACUAGAUGCUGUAGGCA
rnacentral:rRNA from 1 species